rnacentral:lncRNA from 1 species
CAAAAUCAUGAGACACAAAGGAAUGGGUGGCACCAAUAUUAAUCAAAGCAUGAACAAUAGAGUUAUGGAUAGAGAGCGUACCAUGAAUGAUAACAGGAGUCACCAUGACACCUAAUUCAUCAAGCUGGAAGACCCUUCCUCUAGCAAUAGGUCUGGCGAAGUCCCAAGGCUUCUGGGGACAAUCCUUCAUAAAAUGCUAGGUGUUUUUGCACUUGUAAAAGCAUUGCCUAGCUUGUAAUAGGGAUGGUUGCCAUGGUCCUUACUGCAGUGGAGCCAAACUUGAGCAAGCUGGGAAGGAUUCCCUAAAGGUGGAGGUGGUGCAACAACCACAGUAGAAGCUAUCCUGGGCCAUUUGUUAACAUGACCCUGUUCCAUCUAUUUCCCUGUUUGUUGAUGCUGGGCUCUCACAUUCUAGAUGUGCUAGCAGCGGCUAGCGAGGAGUUCCUCGACCAACUAAGCAUUCUUUUGGAACUCUGCAUAGGUUCUCGGCUCCGUCGUGGCUACUCGAUCAAAGAUAUCGGCCCUAAGACCCUUCAAGAAAUUCUUAGCCUUCUUAACUUCAGUGGCAAUAG